rnacentral:rRNA from 1 species
AUGCAGUCGAGCGGGAUCUUCGGAUCUAGCGGCGGACGGGUUAGUAACGCGUGGGAACGUACCCAGAUCUACGGAAUAGCCUCGGGAAACUGAGAGUAAUACCGUAUACGCCCUUCGGGGGAAAGAUUUAUCGGAUUUGGAUCGGCCCGCGUAAGAUUAGAUAGUUGGUGGGGUAAUGGCCUACCAAGUCUACGAUCUUUAGCUGGUUUGAGAGGAUGAUCAGCAACACUGGGACUGAGACACGGCCCAGACUCCUACGGGAGGCAGCAGUGGGGAAUCUUAGACAAUGGGCGCAAGCCUGAUCUAGCGAUGCCGCGUGAGUGAUGAAGGCCUUAGGGUCGUAAAGCUCUUUCGCCUGUGAAGAUAAUGACGGUAGCAGGUAAAGAAACCCCGGCUAACUCCGUGCCAGCAGCCGCGGUAAUACGGAGGGGGUUAGCGUUGUUCGGAAUUACUGGGCGUAAAGCGCACGUAGGCGGACUAGUCAGUCAGAGGUGAAAUCCCAGGGCUCAACCCUGGAACUGCCUUUGAUACUGCUAGUCUUG